rnacentral:rRNA from 1 species
AACGAACGCUGGCGGCGUGCUUAACACAUGCAAGUCGAACGCGAACGGGACUUCGGUCCUCAGUAGAGUGGCGCACGGGUGAGUAACGCGUAGAUAACCUAUCUUCAUGUCUGGAAUAAUACGCCGAAAGGAGUACUAAUACCGGAUAUUCUUGCUUUUCAUAAGUAUAGCAAGCAAAGGUGGCCACUGAAUAUGCUACUGCAUGAAGAGGGGUCUGCGUACCAUUAGCUAGUAGGUGGGGUAAUGGCCUACCUAGGCUACGAUGGUUAGCGGGUCUGAGAGGAUGAUCCGCCACACUGGCACUGGAACACGGGCCAGACUCCUACGGGAGGCAGCAGUGAGGAAUAUUGCGCAAUGGGGGGCAACCCUGACGCAGCGACGCCGCGUGAGUGAGGAAGG